UACGUAGGGGGCAAGCGUUGUCCGGAAUUAUUGGGCGUAAAGAGCUCGUAGGCGGUCUGUUGCGUCCGCUGUGAAAACUCAGGGCUUAACCCUGAGCUUGCAGUGGGUACGGGCAGACUAGAGUGCGGUAGGGGAGACUGGAAUUCCUGGUGUAGCGGUGAAAUGCGCAGAUAUCAGGAGGAACACCGGUGGCGAAGGCGGGGUCUCUGGGCCGUAACUGACGCUGGAGGAGCGAAAGCAUGGGAGCGAACAGG
rnacentral:rRNA from 1 species